CUGAAUGGCACAUUCCAUUGAGUGUGGCCAAACCAGCAACACACAGCAGCUUGAGGCCCCAUGUACAGGAGGAAAGAAGCCUGGAAGACUAUGAUUAUAAAACGACAGCGUUUUGCAUUGUCUUGGGUUGGUUGAGGUGUGCAUGAUAGACCGUUAUUUCAGGUCAAGGAUCCCAGAAACCACCCCAUGAUAUUCACCACAAGAUGGAGGUUUUCCAUUUAUAGCCAAACUCACACCACCACCCAAUUUCUCAGCCCUCUUUCCCUCCCUCCUCACUCAACCAUGCACAAAACAAAGGCACAAAGCAGAGGUAGAGAGAGAUAGAGAUAGAGAAAGAGGUCAUGAUCUCGGUUCGGUUUUCCCCACCAAGGUCAUGAUCUUCUAUCUCAUCACCCCUUGAUUUUUCACAAGCAUAGGAGUAUAUACGGAUAAGGUUAAAUUUUUUUCUAUUCCAUUUUCUGGGUUAUUGGGAAAAUUAUGGCCUGGCGAUCAUUCAAGCGGAUUGUGGAGCAGGAGCUUGGAUACUUGCCCCAGUUUGUGAUCUAUGCAAUCCUGGAAUGGGUGGUGAUAAUUUUGCUUUUUCUUGAUGGGUUUAUUGGAUUUGUUGCCAAUGAGUUUGCAAAGUUUUUUGAAUUGAAGACACCAUGUUUGCUUUGCACUAGGAUUGAUCAUGUUCUCGUUCAUCGGAAUCCCAGCUUUUACUAUAACGAUUCCAUAUGUGAAGAUCACAAGAAGGAUGUUUCCUCUCUUGCCUACUGUCACGCUCACAGGAAGUUAUCUGAUAUCCGGAUGAUGUGUGAGGGAUGCCUCAUUUCUUUUGCCACUGAGAGAGGAGAUGAUUGUGAGACACACAGAUCUUUGGUUGGGAUUUUGCAUAACACUGUUGAGCCCUUUGUUGAUAAUGACCACAAAAUGCAAGUGAAAUUGCCUGUGGGACAAGUUGACAAGAGUGGUGUUCACCAGUGUUCUUGCUGCGGGGGGCCUUUGAAGAUGAGAGCCUCCAUGACCAAGGGUCAUGUUCCCCGCUCUGCAAGCCAUGGGAACCUUCUUUCACAAGCUCCUACACCUUCUCCUCGAGCUCCAUUUUUUGCAACGAGAAAUGAGGAUUUUCGUCACUUGGAAUUGCCUCAAAUUCGGCACAUGGAUCUCAAAUUCUCGUCGGAUAAUGAAUCAGAGCUUCUAGAGGAUGAGUAUAGCUCAUAUGCAUCAAUCCAAGGUAGGGAAGAUGUUAAAGCUUGUACUGUGCCCUUGCUAACAGAAUCUGAGGAUUCAAAUGAAGAAAGAACCCCUAUGGGGUUUUCUAGAGGAAAUAGGUUUUUUGGAAUCUCUCUGACAGAUUCAGCCACAUCCAGUCCUAGGUGGGCUACCAGGUUGCCAAGGAAACCGGUGCUUGAGAAGGCGGAGUUUGUCUUGGAGCCUCUUGAGGGAAAUGCUGCAAAUGAAGCAGAUUCUGAUUCCACCAUGCAACGUUUGAAGAGGCAAGCACGUCUGGAUCGCAAGUCAUUAAUAGCUUUGUACAUGGAACUGGAUGAAGAAAGAAGCGCUUCUGCUAUUGCAGCAAAUAAUGCAAUGGCCAUGAUCACAAGGUUGCAAGCAGAGAAAGCAUCAGUUCAGAUGGAAGCCUUACAGUAUCAGAGGAUGAUGGAGGAGCAGGCUGAAUAUGACCAAGAAGAUUUGCAAGCAAUGAGGGAUUUGCUUGGCAAGAGAGAGGACGAAAUCAAAGCUUUAGAGGCUGAACUUGAGAUGUAUCAACCGAAAAAUGAAAGCAGCAAGAAAUUCACUGUUGAGGGAUGUGAUUCAAUUGAAAUACAGGGUGAUGAAGAUGACCAACAGUUGAAAUCUGAGUCCUUAAGUGAAAAAUCUGAAUGCAGCAGCCCUGCUUUUUGCUUCAAUGAAGUGGAGAAUAAUGGAGAACACCAGCAUAAAUAUGAUCAAACGAGGUCAUUGCAAGAAGAGAAUGGAGGGGAGACCAUUGAAAAAUCAUCAGGGGAUUUUGAGGGCGAGAGAUCCAAUCUUCUAAAUCAGUUGAAAAAUAUGAAGAAGUUUCACUCAUCUGCACACAGUGGGAGGCAUUCCUUGCAGCUGAGCUUUGACAUGGUUAACGAUACAGAGGAAGGCACAGGUAACGACACAGGGGAUGCAUGCAAUGAUAUAAUAUCAAGAGAAGUGCCUCAUCUCCAUGAGAAAUUAAAAGCUCUUGAAGAAGAUGGUGGAUUCUUGAAUCAUGCUGCUCGGGCACUUGAGAAGGGAAGUGAAGGAAGAAACAUUUUGACACAGAUAGCUCACCAUCUGCAUAAGCUUCAAGACCUGGUGAAAAUUCCCUUGGAGGAUGAUUGCGAAUGAUUUUCACAAUAACCAUUUUGAUGAUGACCAUAAGCAUCCAAUGCUGCAAAUUGAGGAUGAUUUCAGAAAGAAAAAAUAGAACUUGGGAGCAGAACAAUACAAUGCUAAUUUAUCUGUGGCUGGCAAAAGUUGAUGAUAUAUGGUCCAUGUAACCACAACCAAUUGAUGUGCAGGCAAAGUAGCAUUAAGAUCGAGCAACCGGGUAUGUCCCCAGAAACAUUUUUCACCUGCAAACCAUCCAAACAUCUAAGUUUAGCAGUAACUGAUUGAUGAUAGACAUGGGGAUAGCGCUUCAAGGGCGCCAGCAGAUUGUUGCAAGGUCGGGGAAGGCAGAAAGGGAGGCACAUACAAGUGUACAACUUCAUAGCGAUUGGGGUAAAACCUCAGAACCUCAGAGAGUGAAUAUUAGUUGCUGCUUCUAUUGGAACUGUUGCUUCUUGUAUGAAUCCAAAUUUUGAGUUAUAUUAAUCAUUAAAAUUUCUCCCACAAGUUGAGACUA